rnacentral:tRNA from 1 species
CGGGGCGUGGCGCAGUUUGGUAGCGCACCUGCCUGGGGGGGCAGGGGGUCGUAGGUUCAAAUCCUGCCGUCCCGACCA